rnacentral:sRNA from 1 species
UUUUAGGGAUAUCGGGCACAGGUUCUCCUCCUCCGACUGUUCUCCUUCACAGUUCGUGAUCCUGCGUGCCGCACAGGCGGUAUCCCGCUUCGUGUGCAAAAAAGCUCGUC